rnacentral:sRNA from 1 species
UGCUAUAUUAUCGUUAGUGGUACAGUAUUCUAGUCAGUUGAAUUAACUUGGAAGACGGGCCUAAAAAUCCGUUGAAGGGCACAUCGAUGAAGUUCUUGGUUUCGGCUUCUGACGCCCAGUCGGGGGUUGUUUCUGAGAGUAAGGAGAUGGGGGCGAUCCGCAAAGGCAUGCGGGCGAUGACCCUUGCUCCGUGGAGGCCACUUGAAGUUUUCAUGACUUCAAUGGUAGAAACCUAUCAAUUUGUGCGGAGAGUGCGAAGGAUAGCGUAGCCUGCCUUGCGUGGGAUAGGGAGAUGAGUAGAUCAGGUUUUUGAUAUCAGGGCCCGAUGGAGAAAAUCAUUGCUACUUGAAAUCUAUUCUGCAAAAGAGGCUAAGAGUUGAUGAAAACUGUUGAGGAAAACUCCUAGACUGUUCUGUUUAGAAGCAUAAUAAGGAUUACAGUGCGGACUAAGUGGUACUCCAGUCCUGUCUAUGGUGACAAGACAGAGAUUGAUUUAAAGGGAAACCGCUGCUAUGGCGACAGGCAGUAUUGAUCUGGGAAAUCCUACUGGACCUAAGCCGUAAAAUUUACUUAUUAUGCUACCACUACGACUUAAAGCUGA